rnacentral:rRNA from 1 species
GAUGAACGCUGGCGGCGUGCUUAACACAUGCAAGUCGAACGGAAAGGCGCGGCUCUUGCGGGGUGCUCGUGUGGCGAGGGGGUGUGUUACACGUGAGUAACCCGCCUUUGACUUUGUGAUAACUCCAGGAAACGGGGGCUAAUACCUGAUAGGAGAUCGUGCAGCAUGGGGGGGGUUGGACAGUUUCGGCUGUAGGGGAUGGACUGGCGGCUUACCAGCUUGUUGGGGGGGUAGUGGCUUACCAAGUCUUAGACGGGUAGCCGGCCUGAGCGGGUGGCCAGCCACAUGGGGACUGAGAGACGGCGCAGACUGCAAUGGGAGGCAGCAGUCGAGAGUAUGGCACAGUAGGCGGGAGCGUGAGACAACAGCGCUGCGUGCGGGAUGACGGCCUUCGGGUUGUGAACCGCUUUGUCCUGAGACGAAGCGUGAGUGACGGUAAUGGGUAAAGAAGCACCGGCUAACUACGUG